CUAUCUUUCUAAUCAUAAAUUAUCACGUCAUUAUAUUUAAUUUUUAUUUUAAUUUUUAAAGAGAGAGACAAGAAAAUAAUGAGCGAAGAAGGUCCUCCAAAGCUAUACACCAACAAGCCCCGAAAAGCGCAACUCAAGCAUGCUCGAGGGCAACAGAAAUCCAACGGCUUCUCCUCGCCGACGGCGACGGUCACCCACGGCCCAGCCACUGCUCCGCCGCCUUUGCCGGAAAUGUUGUUGCCAACCACUGUUACGGUACUCAAGUCCCUUUUUCUCUGUCGGUGCUCAGUUAUGGGAUAGGGUUUGAAGACAGGAGUUGAAGAUAGAAGAUUUUCAUCCUUCCUACAUAUACUUAAGAAAUAAAAAAAAAUUCACACCGCAACGCAACCCGGCCUCCUUCAUUUCUGUCAUAGACUCUAUUUUCUAUUUAUAUUUUAAAAAGUCAGCCAAUAAUAUUUACCCAGUUGUAUUCGUACCAUUUUCAUGCAAAUAGUAUUCAUAAAAUACAACACUGUUGUUUACAUGUUUAAUAAUUAAUAUCAAGCAUGUUAAGAGAAUGAGUAGUGUUUAGCACAUCUUUAAUGGAAGCAACUCAUUUAAGUUGUAUUAUGCGUUAAAAAAUGAAAAAAGUGAUUUUGAGUGUGCCAUGUUAGCAUUAAGUAACUCAAACACAAAUUUACUCUAAUGAUAAUAAACUUUAAGAUAUUUAACUUUUAAAACUUUUUUUCUAA